rnacentral:rRNA from 1 species
UAAGGAAUAUUGGUCAAUGGACGCAAGUCUGAACCAGCCAUGCCGCGUGAAGGAUGAAGGUCCUCUGGAUUGUAAACUUCUUUUAUCUGGGACGAAAACGGGAUUUUUAUCUCAAUUGACGGUACCAGAGGAAUAAGCACCGGCUAACUCCGUGCCAGCAGCCGCGAUAAUACGGAGGGUGCGAGCGUUAUCCGGAUUUACUGGGUUUAAAGGGUGCGUAGGUGGGCUUAUAAGUCAGUGGUGAAAUCUCCGAGCUUAACUUGGAAACUGCCGUUGAUACUAUAGGUCUUGAAUUAUCUGGAGGUAAGCGGAAUAUGUCAUGUAGCGGUGAAAUGCUUAGAUAUGACAUAGAACACCAAUUGCGAAGGCAGCUUACUACAUAUAAAUUGACGCUGAGGCACGAAAGCGUGGGGAUCAAACA